GAUGAAGAACGGAGCGAAAUGCGAUAAGUAAUGCGAAUUGCAGAAUCCGUGAGUCAUCGAAUCUUUGAACGCAUAUUGCGCCCUUUGGCAUUCCGAAGGGCAUGCCUGUUCGAGCGUCAUUAUCACCCCUCAAGCCCCGGCUCGGUGUUGGGCCCCCGGUGGUCGUACCCGACCACCCGCCUCAAAGAUAGUGACGGCGUCCCAGAGGGAACCGGUACGAGGAGCUUUCACGAGCAUGUACGCGGGGACGACUCUGUGGGCGACGGUCUUUUUUAACCUUAAUAUAUCAAGUGUUGACCUCGGAUCAGGUAGGAAUACCCGCUGAACUUAAGCAUAUCAAUAAGCGGAGGA
rnacentral:misc_RNA from 1 species